GAUCCUGGCUCAGAAUCAACGCUGGCGGCGUGCCUAACACAUGCAAGUCGAACGAGAAAGUGGAGCAAUCCAUGAGUAAAGUGGCGCACGGGUGAGUAACACGUGACUAACCUACCCUGGAGUGGGGGAUAACUGAGGGAAACCUUAGCUAAUACCGCAUAACACCUACGGGUCAAAGGAGCAAUUCGCUUUGGGAGGGGGUCGCGGCCGAUUAGUUAGUUGGCGGGGUAACGGCCCACCAAGACGAUGAUCGGUAUCCGGCCUGAGAGGGCGCACGGACACACUGGAACUGAAACACGGUCCAGACUCCUACGGGAGGCAGCAG
rnacentral:rRNA from 1 species